CAUGUCUUUUUGAUAAUAAUUUAAAGUCUAAUCUGCUCAAUGAAUAAUUAAAUGGCCGCAGUAUUUUAACUGUGCGAAGGUAGCAUAAUAAUUAGCUUUUUAAAUGGGGGAUUGUAUGAAUGAUUGGACGAGAAAAUUUCUGUCUUAAUUUAAUUUAUUUUUGAAUUUUAUUUUUAAGUUAAAAAGCUUAAAUAAUUUUAAAAGACGAGAAGACCCUAUAGAGUUUUAUAUUUAAGAUUGAUUUGACUUUAGAAAUUUAAUUAGAUUUUAAAUAUUUAGUUGGGGUGACUAAAAGAUUAAAUAAAUUCUUUUUUUACUAAUUAAUGAUUAUUAAAUUUAAAAUGUAUAUUUUUAAAUUAAAAAUAAAUUACCUUAGGGAUAACAGCGUAAUAUUUCUUAAAAGUUCUUAUUGAAAGAAAUUUUUGCGACCUCGAUGUUGGAUUAAAAUUUAUUUUUGGCGCAGUAGCUAAAAAAUUAGGUCUGUUCGACCUUUAAAAUUUUACAUGAUCUGAGUUUAGACCGGUGUGAACCAGGUUGGAUUCUAUCUUUAAUUUUCUUUUUUAUUUUAGUACGAAAGGACCAAGUAAAUUUUAUAUAUUA
rnacentral:rRNA from 1 species